rnacentral:rRNA from 1 species
CCCAGACUCCUACGGGAGGCAGCAGUGGGGAAUAUUGCACAAUGGGGGGAACCCUGAUGCAGCGACGCCGCGUGAGUGAAGAAGUAUUUCGGUAUGUAAAGCUCUAUCAGCAGGGAAGAUAAUGACGGUACCUGACUAAGAAGCCCCGGCUAACUACGUGCCAGCAGCCGCGGUAAUACGUAGGGGGCAAGCGUUAUCCGGAUUUACUGGGUGUAAAGGGUGCGUAGGUGGCAGGGCAAGUCAGAUGUGAAAGCCCGGGGCCCAACCCCGGUACUGCAUUUGAAACUGUCCGGCUGGAGUGCAGGAGAGGUAAGCGGAAUUCCUAGUGUAGCGGUGAAAUGCGUAGAUAUUAGGAGGAACACCAGUGGCGAAGGCGGCUUACUGGACUGUAACUGACACUGAGGCACGAAAGCGUGGGGAGCAAACAGGAUUAGAUACCCGCGUAA